AACGAACGCUGGCGGCAUGCCUAACACAUGCCAGUCGAACGAGACCUUCGGGUCUAGUGGCGCACGGGUGCGUAACGCGUGGGAACCUGCCCUUAGGUUCGGAAUAACUCCCCGAAAGGGGUGCUAAUACCGGAUAAUGUCUUCGGACCAAAGAUUUAUCGCCUUUGGAUGGGCCCGCGUUGGAUUAGCUAGUUGGUAGGGUAAAAGCCUACCAAGGCGACGAUCCAUAGCUGGUCUGAGAGGAUGAUCAGCCACACUGGGACUGAGACACGGCCCAGACUCCUACGGGAGGCAACAGUGGGGAAUAUUGGACAAUGGGCGAAAGCCUGAUCCAGCAAUGCCGCGUGAGUGAUGAAGGCCUUAGGGUUGUAAAGCUCUUUUACCCGGGAUGAUAAUGACAGUACCGGGAGAAUAAGCUCCGGCUAACUCCGUG
rnacentral:rRNA from 1 species